rnacentral:tRNA from 1 species
UAAAUUUUAAGUUAUAUAAACUAAGAACCUUCAAAGUUCUCAAAAAGAAUAUUCUUAAAUUUAA